GACGAACGCUGGCGGCGUGCUUAACACAUGCAAGUCGAACGGAAAGGCCCUGCUUUUGUGGGGUGCUCGAGUGGCGAACGGGUGAGUAACACGUGAGUAACCUGCCCUUGACUUUGGGAUAACUUCAGGAAACUGGGGCUAAUACCGGAUAGGAGCUCCUGCUGCAUGGUGGGGGUUGGAAAGUUUCGGCGGUUGGGGAUGGACUCGCGGCUUAUCAGCUUGUUGGUGGGGUAGUGGCUUACCAAGGCUUUGACGGGUAGCCGGCCUGAGAGGGUGACCGGCCACAUUGGGACUGAGAUACGGCCCAGACUCCUACGGGAGGCAGCAGUGGGGAAUAUUGCACAAUGGGCGGAAGCCUGAUGCAGCAACGCCGCGUGCGGGAUGACGGCCUUCGGGUUGUAAACCGCUUUCGCCUGUGACGAAGCGUGAGUGACGGUAAUGGGUAAAGAAGCACCGGCUAACUACGUGCCAGCAGCCGCGGUGAUACGUAGGGUGCGAGCGUUGUCCGGAUUUAUUGGGCGUAAAGGGCUCGUAGGUGGUUGAUCGCGUCGGAAGUGUAAUCUUGGGGCUUAACCCUGAGCGUGCUUUCGAUACGGGUUGACUUGAGGAAGGUAGGGGAGAAUGGAAUUCCUGGUGGAGCGGUGGAAUGCGCAGAUAUCAGGAGGAACACCAGUGGCGAAGGCGGUUCUCUGGGCCUUUCCUGACGCUGAGGAGCGAAAGCGUGGGGAGCGAACAGGCUUAGAUACCCUGGUAGUCCACGCUGUAAACGGUGGGUACUAGGUGUGGGGUCCAUUCCACGGGUUCCGUGCCGUAGCUAACGCUUUAAGUACCCCGCCUGGGGAGUACGGCCGCAAGGCUAAAACUCAAAGGAAUUGACGGGGCCCCGCACAAGCGGCGGAGCAUGCGGAUUAAUUCGAUGCAACGCGUAGAACCUUACCUGGGUUUGACAUGGAUCGGGAGUGCUCAGAGAUGGGUGUGCCUCUUUUGGGGUCGGUUCACAGGUGGUGCAUGGCUGUCGUCAGCUCGUGUCGUGAGAUGUUGGGUUAAGUCCCGCAACGAGCGCAACCCUUGUUCACUGUUGCCAGCACGUUACGGUGGGGACUCAGUGGAGACCGCCGGGGUCAACUCGGAGGAAGGUGGGGAUGACGUCAAGUCAUCAUGCCCCUUAUGUCCAGGGCUUCACGCAUGCUACAAUGGCUGGUACAGAGAGUGGCGAGCCUGUGAGGGUGAGCGAAUCUCGGAAAGCGGGUCUCAGUUCGGAUUGGGGUCUGCAACUCGACCUCAUGAAGUCGGAGUCGCUAGUAAUCGCAGAUCAGCAACGCUGCGGUGAAUACGUUCCCGGG
rnacentral:rRNA from 1 species